rnacentral:lncRNA from 1 species
AUUACAACUGCCUCACCAGCCACAGUAUGAAUUUUUAUCCUUUGACCAGAUUCACAGCAGGUAAAGGAACUUACAUGCAUUUGAAACAUUUUGCCUUUGGUGAACUGGCAGCUAAGCUCCAGAGCUGGUGAGGUGGGACAUAAAUAGCAAGUGAGCAGACAUAUCUCAGAUCAAUUUUGUGUCACUCGGAAGCAAGGAUGUAAAAAACAGAGUGAUUUUGACAAAAAAUUUCCCCCCAGAAUAUGAAAUGCAAGAGUACUUAAUGAAUUUAUGAAUUGCUCUUUCCUAUAAUACUUGCCUACGCAUAAAUCAGAUCUUACUGAUUUUAUCUUACUUAUUGUGGUUUGGCAGCUUCUAUCAACCAUUUGGAUCUGUGCAGCUGUGUCAUUUUCUGUGACAGCAGUACCAAUGUGUCAGGAGAUCUGGGCACUGAUGAAAAAGGAAGGGAGUUCAAGAAAACACUCUGGGAUUUUAAAAGCAGAUAUUAUGGUUUCUAGCUUAUGACACCAAUCUUCACUAUCAAGAGAGAAUGAACAGAAAAGUUCAUCUCAAUAACUGAAGAUAAUAUCUGGGGUUUUUUUCCCCAGUUUCGCUGUGAGGUUAUGUGCAGCGUUGCUCCAAGGUAUGGAUCUCUCCAACAGCUACAUCUGUUAUUAUUUCAAGGCCAGCUGAGGAGCUAACAUCCUUUAUGCAAAUUAGGAGGAUUCCCGAGGGGUCUGGAUGGCUGCAAAGGAAAGGACUUCACAAAGAUGGGUCCCACCGGUUUCGUGGCACUGGAGAACAUCACACUUUUAUAGCUGGAUUGUACUUGCCUACUUUUGAGCAAAUCCUUCUACAAAUUUGCACCUUCCUGUUAGGCAGUUAAUAUUUCCGUAUUACCUGUUGGGUCAUUUUGUUUCCAGUCUUUGAGUUUGCUUAAUUCUUUUUCCUUGCCAUGUGUAUUUCUCUGUACUAUCCUGCUGAUGCUCUUAUGGCACAAAAGAAACAAGCUGUCCUUCUGAGCCAAUUAUCAAGAUUCCUGGAGCAAUUCACUUAUUAUACAUGAAGAUGUUCAGGGUUUUUUUUCCCCUCCCUUUUUCAUCUGUGUGGUCUCCUCCAUCUUACUUCUCUUUUACCAUCUCCCAUCCUUUUUAUACUUGUUUUUCAAGCAUAAGAUUUGUAUUCCUUUCUCUCACUUCUAAACUUAUUUUCUAAUCACCUUUAGUUUAUGAUUUCAGUCUGUUACUGUAGUGGGUUCUUAAAAUACGCACAUGCAUAUACACACAUAUUUCUUCAAGGUACACCAAAAGUUUUCUGACUUCUGGCUUAACGAGAUUAUCCGAACACAAUAGACAUAUGUUUGUAUGAAAAAGAUUAAAAAUUGAAGAUAGACUGUCCAUCUCACAGGAUUCACUUCUCUCCUGUUUUCUGGAGAAAGAAAUCCACCACAGCUCUUCAUUAUAUAAUGUGUACCUCCUUUAGAAACAUAGUAACAAGUAAAGCUUGUAUCUUUCUCAAAAUUCCAUGUAGCUAAUUCAUUAACCCUUGUGAUACUGAUUGGUCAAUUAAUCUGCUGAUAGGAAACAGGGCAUAGCUGUAAUUCUAGCAGCAUACCUGUAUGUGUUAGGAAUUUCUAGGGCUGAAGGAUGUACUCUUCUAAACAGCAAAGCCAAACUGUUGGCCGAGAGAAGAGCAGACAGAAUUAAUCCAUUUUCUUGGUGUCACUUGAUCUUAAAUAUGACGAGAGGAAGAUGGCAGUUUCUUGCAAAAAAACCCCUUAAUAUUGAUUCA